GUUGAUCCUGCCGGACCCGACUGCUAUUUGGGUGAGGAUAAGCCAUGCGAGUUGGAUGGGAUACCUAAACUUCCCAUAGCAAACUGCUUAGUAACACAUGAUCAACUUGCCCUAUGGAGAAAAAUAACCUCGGGAAACUGAGGAUAAUGUUUCAUAGUUGAAUAGGCUUGGAAAAGUUUUUCAAUGAAAGGAAUAAGAUAAAUGGAUCUUAUUUGCCAUAGGAUAGGAUCGUGGUCGAUUAUGGUAGUUGGUGAGAUAACGGCUCACCAAGCCGAUAAUCGAUAGGGGCCGUGAGAGCGGGAGCCCCAAGAUGGGUACUGAGACAGCGACCCAGGCCUUACGAGGCGCAGCAGGCGCGAGACCUCCGCAAUACACGAAAGUGUGACGGGGUUACCCAAAGUGUUCUCUUAAGAACUGUGGCAGGUGAGUAAUGUCCCCUGCUAGAAAGGAGAGGGCAAGGCUGGUGCCAGCCGCCGCGGUAAAACCAGCUCUUCAAGUGGUCGGGAUAAUUAUUGGGCUUAAAGUGUCCGUAGCCGGUUUAGUAAGUUCCUGGUAAAAUCGGGUAGCUUAACUAUCUGCAUGCUAGGAAUACUGCUAUACUAGAGGGCGGGAGAGGUCUGAGGUACUACAGGGGUAGGGGUGAAAUCUUAUAAUCCUUGUAGGACCACCAGUGGCGAAGGCGUCAGACUGGAACGCGCCUGACGGUGAGGGACGAAAGCCAGGGGAGCGAACCGGAUUAGGUACCCGGGUAGUCCUGGCCGUAAACGAUGCAUACUAGGUGAUGGUACGGCCAUGAGCCGUAUCAGUGCCGUAGGGAAACCGUUAAGUGUGCCGCCUGGGAAGUACGGUCGCAAGGCUAAAACUUAAAGGAAUUGGCGGGGGAGCACCACAAGGGGUGAAGCCUGCGGUUCAAUUGGACUCAACGCCGGGAAACUUACCAGGGGAGACAGUAGAAUGAUGGUCAGGUUGACGACCUUACCUGAUGAGCUGAGAGGAGGUGCAUGGCCGUCGCCAGUUCGUGCCGUGAGGUAUCCUGUUAAGUCAGGCAACGAACGAGAUCCGCGCCUUUAUUUGCCAACAAGAAGUUACGACUUCGUUGGGAACACUAAAGGGACCGCCGUCGAUAAGACGGAGGAAGGAGCGGGCAAAGGCAGGUCAGUAUGCCCCGAAACCCCUGGGCUACACGCGGGCUGCAAUGGUAUGAACAAUGGGCUGUAACUCCGAAAGGAGAAACCAAUCCCGAAAUCAUAUCACAGUGGGGAUUGUUGGCUGUAACCCGCCGACAUGAACGUGGAAUCCCUAGUAAUCGUGUGUCAUCAUCGCACGGUGAAUACGUCUCUGCUCCUUGCACACACCGCCCGUCGCUCCAUCCGAGUGUACUAAAAAUGAGGUUUGGUCAGACUGGUCAUAUCGAGUUUCUAGUAUGCGAGGAGGGAGAAGUCGUAACAAGGUAGCCGUAGGGGAACCUGCGGCUGGAUCACCUG
rnacentral:rRNA from 1 species